UUUUAACUUAUUUUUUAGAAUAUUUUUUUUCCAAAUUAAAGGUAAUGUUAAAAA
rnacentral:tRNA from 1 species